ACUGUUCUUCCAGAAGUCCUGAGU
rnacentral:piRNA from 1 species